rnacentral:lncRNA from 1 species
ACAGCCAGAGCCCUGCGGGGAGGAAAACCAUAGGACACAGAAGAGGCUGAUUUGGAGCAGAGAGAGCAUCCAGAUGUGGGGGUGACAGAUGGAAUCGGCAGGGAAGGAUUUGUUCUCGGGAUCCUUAAGGCAAACAGCAACAGCUUGACUCAUAGCUGUUGGGGAUCUGGAGAAGUCCUCGGCACACAGGGCAGAGAGCCAGUCCAUGCAGCCUGCCUUCUGCUGCGAAACCAGAGGUGGAGGCGCUUGCACACUAGGCUUGGGAAUCCGCUCAGCAAGGACUUCAUAUUUACGCAGAAUGUGCGGCAACUGGGACUGAAC